rnacentral:rRNA from 1 species
AGAUUGAACGCUGGCGGCAUGCCUAACACAUGCAAGUCGAACGGGAGUAGCAAUACUCUAGUGGCGGACGGGUGAGGAAUACGUAGGAAUUUGCCCUUAAGUGGGGGAUAACCCGGGGAAACCCGGAUUAAUACCGCAUGACCUCGAAAGAGCAAAGUGGGGGAUCGCAAGACCUCACGCUUUUGGAGAAGCCUACGUCGGAUUAGCUAGUUGGUGAGGUAAUGGCUCACCAAGGCGACGAUCCGUAACUGGUCUGAGAGGAUGAUCAGUCACACCGGAACUGAGACACGGUCCGGACUCCUACGGGAGGCAGCAGUGGGGAAUAGUUGGACAAUGGGCGCAAGCCUGAUCCAGCAAUGCCGCGUGUGUGAAGAAGGCCUUCGGUAGUAAAGCGUACGUUUAACGUUGGGAAAGAAAAACGUACG